rnacentral:rRNA from 1 species
UUCCUACGGGAGGCAGCAGUAGGGAAUCUUCCGCAAUGGACGAAAGUCUGACGGAGCAACGCCGCGUGAGUGAUGAAGGUUUUCGGAUCGUAAAGCUCUGUUGUUAGGGAAGAACAAGUACCGUUCGAAUAGGGCGGUACCUUGACGGUACCUAACCAGAAAGCCACGGCUAACUACGUGCCAGCAGCCGCGGUAAUACGUAGGUGGCAAGCGUUGUCCGGAAUUAUUGGGCGUAAAGGGCUCGCAGGCGGUUUCUUAAGUCUGAUGUGAAAGCCCCCGGCUCAACCGGGGAGGGUCAUUGGAAACUGGGGAACUUGAGUGCAGAAGAGGAGAGUGGAAUUCCACGUGUAGCGGUGAAAUGCGUAGAGAUGUGGAGGAACACCAGUGGCGAAGGCGACUCUCUGGUCUGUAACUGACGCUGAGGAGCGAAAGCGUGGGGAGCGAACAGGAUUAGAUACCCUGGUAGUCC